GGGCUGUUGGCGCAAUGGCUAGCGUUCUAGUUUCCGAGAUAUCAGAGAUUAGAAGUUACUAGAGGUUCUGGGUUCGAGUCCCAGGCAGCCCU